GUAGUUUGAUCCUGGCUCAGGAUAGAACGCUAGCGACAGGCUUAACACAUGCAAGUCGAGGGGCAGCAAUGAACUUAGCUUGCUAAGUUUGAUGGCGACCGGCGCACGGGGUGAGUAACGCGUAUGCAACUUACCUAUCAGAGGAGAAUAGCUCAGUCGAAAGAUGAAUUAAUGCUCCAUAAAACAGGGGUCCCGCAUGGGAAUAUUUGUUAAAGAUUCAUCGCUGAU
rnacentral:rRNA from 1 species